rnacentral:rRNA from 3 species
GGACUACCGGGGUAUCUAAUCCCGUUCGCUCCCCUAGCUUUCGCGCCUCAGCGUCAGAAGAGGUCCAGCACGUCGCUUUCGCCACCGGCGUUCCUUCCGAUAUCAACGCAUUUCACCGCUCCACCGGAAGUUCCACAUGCCCCUACCUCGCUCUAGACAACCAGUAUCAAAGGCUAUUUUCCGGUUAAGCCGAAAGAUUUCACCCCUGACUUGGCCGCCCGCCUACGCGCCCUUUAAGCCCAGUGAUUCCGAACAACGUUUGCACGGUUCGUCUUACCGCGGCGGCUGGCAC